rnacentral:rRNA from 1 species
UACGAAGGGGGCUAGCGUUGCUCGGAAUCACUGGGCGUAAAGCGCACGUAGGCGGCUUGCUAAGUCAGGUGUGAAAUCCUGGAGCUCAACUCCAGAACUGCCUUUGAUACUGGCGACCUUGAGUCCGGGAGAGGUGAGUGGAACUGCGAGUGUAGAGGUGAAAUUCGUAGAUAUUCGCAAGAACACCAGUGGCGAAGGCGGCUCACUGGCCCGGUACUGACGCUGAGGUGCGAAAGCGUGGGGAGCAAACAGG